GCAAACCUCAGCGGGUCCAUGCACAUGCUGACUAGGUUUCCUGAACGAAACAAUGUGACUACUAACCAUGAAAGCUGUAACACGUUCUGAAACUCUAACAUCUUCCAUCUUUAAUUCUUGUAACCUUAGCACGUACUCAGGCACGUGAACUAGGUCCCACACAACACCCACACCACCAGGUUUCAUCACUCUCACCAUCUCCGCCACCGCUCUCAUCCUCUCCGCCGCCGCCUCCGCCGUUUUCUGUCCAUACUCUCUCCCUACAGUAUGCACAAACACACCAGAAACUACCACAUCGAAGUAAUUAUCAGGAAACGGUAACCGUCUCGCAUCGCCUUCGCGACAAGUGACGUAUUCACCAACUCCUUCCAUUUUAGCCGAUCGAAGUGUGGACAGUGUUGUACGCUUCGAUCGGUCUAAACCGACAACACGGCCGGAGCUUCCUUCUUUUUUCAACUGUGUUGCAACGGCGUUUAAGAGAAUUCCCCGGCCGCAGCAGCCUAAAUCAAGAGCGAGUUUUACAGAAGACCAGUCGUGUACGGCGGAGACGAUCCGCUGUGCCAUGUCGUAGUGAAGAGGAACGGCGGAGUAAAAGAAAUUCGCCGCAGCGAAGAAGAGACAUACAGCAGAGAGUGCUGUGACUGAGCCGGUGAAUCCAGCGGCGAAUCUGGCGACGGCGGCGGUUGAGAUUAUUCUUUCAAAGAAACUACAAAUUGGAUUGAAGUAUACAAGAUAGAGAACUGAUAAUACUGAGAAUAAAAUUGCUUGACAUAAGAGGAAAAUUAGGGUUUGCCAUUGCUCCAUUCCGUAGAUCGUCCAUUCCUUGCUAUUGUUGCUUGAUUUUCCCAUCAGUUUCAACCGGGGAUUGAAUUUGAAUUGUAUCUGCAAAUAUAAGAUAAAAUUGAGUCAACAAAACUCGAACACGAGAAGAGGAUUGUUGAGAAUGAAUUAGAUUUUUGAAAUUGGAGCUUACGGUUAAGAAAUGAAAGCUUAGGAAUCAGAUCCAAAUGUGAAACUGAAAUUGAAAUUGAAAUUGAAAUUGAAAAGAAAGAAGUGAGUGACAGUGUAUGAGUCACUAAAACAAGCACAGUUGUUGAUUCUUUUGAUUUUGAUUUUUGAAAGACGCGUUUUGAUUCGUCGUUAUGCUCUUUUUAUUUUGUGUCAGAACAAAACGGCGAGGUUUAUCUGCGUUUUAACACGACACCGUUGUUUCUAAGAUUGUACGAAUUUCGAGAGAUGAAAAUGGUAAUGGGACCGGAACCUCGUUGGUGGUUGUGUUUUUUUGAUGCUACACAAUGAAAGAACGUGUUUUAUAUUACUGUGUAGUGUGUACGGUGUUUUGUGAGUAUAAAAAUCUUUUGAGUUUUUGAACUUUGAAGUUGAAGGGUUUACCGGUUAACCGGCUAAGGAGGUUGAUGAGUGGGAAGAUAGCUGUUUUUUGGAUUGGGUCAUUGUAGUGUUGGUAAGCCUGCAAUAUCAGUUUCUGAGAUUGGUUGUGAUUGAUUUUUGUAAUUAUUUUAUUUUUUGGUCUUAUAAUGGACUUUUUAUUUUUUGUGUGUAUGGAAAGGUAAAAGGAAAUUGUGACUCUUUCCUUUUGAACUAUGUGUGAAAUGAAUGAUGAAUAUUAAUUUGGGUCGUAAA
rnacentral:lncRNA from 1 species